rnacentral:rRNA from 1 species
AUUGAACGCUGGCGGCAGGCUUAACACAUGCAAGUCGAACGAGUGGCGGACGGGUGAGUAAUGUCUGGGAACGUGCCCGAUGGAGGGGGAUAACUACUGGAAACGGUAGCUAAUACCGCAUACCAACGGAUGUGCCCAUAUGGGAUUAGCUAGUAGGUGGGGUAAUGGCUCACCGAGGCGACGAUCCACAGCUGGUCUGAGAGGAUGACCAGCCACACUGGAACUGAGACACGGUCCAGACUCCUACGGGAGGCAGCAGUGGGGAAUAUUGCACAAUGGGGGCAAGCCUGAUGCAGCCAUGCCGCGUGUAUGAAGAAGGCCUUCGGGUUGUAAAGUACUUUCAGCGGGGAGGCGUUACCCGCAGAAGAAGCACCGGCUAACUCCGUGCCAGCAGCCGCGGUAAUUC